UUGUUUGCAGACGCGGCAUCAUCAAGAUUCACAAGAACACACCCUGUACACAAUGGGGGCUUUCAUCGAUCACAGCAGAGCAAAAUCAAAGGGGGUGAUCCGGUUGACCGCCCUAACAAUAAGUUGGAAGGGAUCCCAGUGUCUGUAUGGGAAUCUUGAUGAUGCUGCAUCAGCAACCAU
rnacentral:pre_miRNA from 1 species